rnacentral:rRNA from 1 species
GAUGAACGCUGGCGGCGUGCCUAAUACGUGCAAGUCGAGCGAACGGACGAGAAGCUUGCUUCUCUGAUGUUAGCGGCGGACGGGUGAGUAACACGUGGAUAACCCACCUAUAAGACUGGGAUAACUUCGGGAAACCGGAGCUAAUACCGGAUAAUAUUUUGAACCGCAUGGUUCAAAAGUGAAAGACGGUCUUGCUGUCACUUAUAGAUGGAUCCGCGCUGCAUUAGCUAGUUGUUAAGGUAACGGCUUACCAAGGCAACGAUGCAUAGCCGACCUGAGAGGGUGAUCGGCCACACUGGAACUGAGACACGGUCCAGACUCCUACGGGAGGCAGCAGUAGGGAAUCUUACGCAAUGGGCGAAAGCCUGGCGGAGCAACGCCGAGUGAGUGAUGAAGGUCUUCGGAUCGUAAAACUCUGUUAUUAGGGAAGAACAUAUGUGUAAGUAAAUGUGCACAUCUUGACGGUACCUAAUCAGAAAGCCACGGCUAACUACGUG